AUACGGAGGAUCCGAGCGUUAUCCGGAUUUAUUGGGUUUAAAGGGUGCGCAGGCGGCCAUUUAAGUCAGCGGUUAAAUCGUGGGGCUCAACCCCAUUCUGCCGUUGAUACUGGGUGGCUUGAUUGCGGUCGAGGUUGGCGGAAUUCGUUGUGUAGCGGUGAAAUGCAUAGAUAUGACGAAGAACACCGAUUGCGUAGGCAGCUGACCAGACCGCAAAUGACGCUCAUGCACGAAAGUGCGGGGAUCGAACAGGAUUAGAUACCCUGGUAGUCCGCACAGUAAACGAUGAAUACUUGUUUUCGGCGAUAUAAUGUCGGAGGCAAAGCGAAAGCGAUAAGUAUUCCACCUGGGGAGCACGCCGGCAACGGUGUAACUUAAAGGAAUUGACGGGG
rnacentral:rRNA from 1 species